rnacentral:rRNA from 1 species
GGGUGCGUAACGCGUAUGUAACCUACCUAUAACAGGGGCAUAACACUGAGAAAUUGGUACUAAUUCCCCAUAAUAUUCGGAGAGGCAUCUCUCCGGGUUGAAAACUGCGGUGGUUAUAGAUGGACAUGCGUUGUAUUAGCUAGUUGGUGAGGUAACGGCUCACCAAGGCAACGAUACAUAGGGGGACUGAGAGGUUAACCCCCCACACUGGUACUGAGACACGGACCAGACUCCUACGGGAGGCAGCAGUGAGGAAUAUUGGUCAAUGGACGCAAGUCUGAACCAGCCAUGCCGCGUGCAGGAAGACGGCUCUAUGAGUUGUAAACUGCUUUUGUACGAGGGUAAACUCACCUACGAGUAGGUGACUGAAAGUAUCGUACGAAUAAGGAUCGGCUAACUCCGUGCCAGCAGCCGCGGUAAUACGGAGGAUUCAAGCGUUAUCCGGAUUUAUUGGGUUUAAAGGGUGCGUAGGCGGUUUGAUAAGUUAGAGGUGAAAUCCCGGGGCUUAACUCCGGAACUGCCUCUAAUACUGUUAGACUAGAGAGUAGUUGCGGUAGGCGGAAUGUAUGGUGUAGCGGUGAAAUGCUUAGAGAUCAUACAGAACACCGAUUGCGAAGGCAGCUUACCAAACUAUAUCUGACGUUGAGGCACGAAAGCGUGGGGAGCAAACAGGAUUAGAUACCCUGGUAGUCCACGCAGUAAACGAUGAUAACU